rnacentral:lncRNA from 1 species
CCAGACACAGCAGAAGUAGAUAAAAUCAUUGGAACUGAACAUGUCGUUAUACAAUGUUGGGCAGAAGCAUCCUUUGGCCUUCGGAGAGCUUCUGCAGAAGUACCAUUUGAAGCAGAUAAGGAUUGAGUUACAUCAAUGAGUAAUUCCCUGGCCUCUCCUCCUAGUUGUUGUGCAUUGCAGCAUUGAUUUUGAUCUUCUGAUUCAACUGUUUUGGUAUGCUCAGAAGCGACCAAAACUGUUUUUGGAUGCAGCUGUAAUGUCUCACCCUCCAGACCAUUCACUGCCCAGUCUGUAUACUAGAAGAAGAAUUAUCUGCAGUAGACUGCAUUGUCCCAGCACUAGACACAGGUACAUCUGUGGAAGGCUUAGAAGGCCCUUUUUCCAUCUUCAAUAUCUCCUCCAUCGACUCAACUGAAAUUGCUGCCUGAGUUGUAU